AAAUUGAAGAGUUUGAUCAUGGCUCAGAUUGAACGCUGGCGGCAGGCCUAACACAUGCAAGUCGAGCGGUAGCACAGAGAGCUUGCUCUCGGGUGACGAGCGGCGGACGGGUGAGUAAUGUCUGGGAAACUGCCUGAUGGAGGGGGAUAACUACUGGAAACGGUAGCUAAUACCGCAUAACGUCGCAAGACCAAAGAGGGGGACCUUCGGGCCUCUUGCCAUCAGAUGUGCCCAGAUGGGAUUAGCUAGUAGGUGGGGUAACGGCUCACCUAGGCGACGAUCCCUAGCUGGUCUGAGAGGAUGACCAGCCACACUGGAACUGAGACACGGUCCAGACUCCUACGGGAGGCAGCAGUGGGGAAUAUUGCACAAUGGGCGCAAGCCUGAUGCAGCCAUGCCGCGUGUAUGAAGAAGGCCUUCGGGUUGUAAAGUACUUUCAGCGGGGAGGAAGGCGAUAAGGUUAAUAACCUUGUCGAUUGACGUUACCCGCAGAAGAAGCACCGGCUAACUCCGUGCCAGCAGCCGCGGUAAUACGGAGGGUGCAAGCGUUAAUCGGAAUUACUGGGCGUAAAGCGCACGCAGGCGGUCUGUCAAGUCGGAUGUGAAAUCCCCGGGCUCAACCUGGGAACUGCAUUCGAAACUGGCAGGCUAGAGUCUUGUAGAGGGGGGUAGAAUUCCAGGUGUAGCGGUGAAAUGCGUAGAGAUCUGGAGGAAUACCGGUGGCGAAGGCGGCCCCCUGGACAAAGACUGACGCUCAGGUGCGAAAGCGUGGGGAGCAAACAGGAUUAGAUACCCUGGUAGUCCACGCCGUAAACGAUGUCGACUUGGAGGUUGUGCCCUUGAGGCGUGGCUUCCGGAGCUAACGCGUUAAGUCGACCGCCUGGGGAGUACGGCCGCAAGGUUAAAACUCAAAUGAAUUGACGGGGGCCCGCACAAGCGGUGGAGCAUGUGGUUUAAUUCGAUGCAACGCGAAGAACCUUACCUACUCUUGACAUCCAGAGAACUUUCCAGAGAUGGAUUGGUGCCUUCGGGAACUCUGAGACAGGUGCUGCAUGGCUGUCGUCAGCUCGUGUUGUGAAAUGUUGGGUUAAGUCCCGCAACGAGCGCAACCCUUAUCCUUUGUUGCCAGCGGUCCGGCCGGGAACUCAAAGGAGACUGCCAGUGAUAAACUGGAGGAAGGUGGGGAUGACGUCAAGUCAUCAUGGCCCUUACGAGUAGGGCUACACACGUGCUACAAUGGCGCAUACAAAGAGAAGCGACCUCGCGAGAGCAAGCGGACCUCAUAAAGUGCGUCGUAGUCCGGAUUGGAGUCUGCAACUCGACUCCAUGAAGUCGGAAUCGCUAGUAAUCGUAGAUCAGAAUGCUACGGUGAAUACGUUCCCGGGCCUUGUACACACCGCCCGUCACACCAUGGGAGUGGGUUGCAAAAGAAGUAGGUAGCUUAACCUUCGGGAGGGCGCUUACCACUUUGUGAUUCAUGACUGGGGUGAAGUCGUAACAAGGUAACCGUAGGGGAACCUGCGGUUGGAUCACCUCCUUA
rnacentral:rRNA from 2 species